rnacentral:rRNA from 1 species
ACGGAGGGGGCUAGCGUUGUUCGGAAUUACUGGGCGUAAAGCGCGCGUAGGCGGUUUAUCAAGUUAGACGUGAAAGCCCUGGGCUCAACCCAGGAACUGCGUUUGAUACUGGUUGACUAGAGGCCGGGAGAGGGUAGUGGAAUUCCCAGUGUAGAGGUGAAAUUCGUAGAUAUUGGGAAGAACACCGGUGGCGAAGGCGGCUACCUGGACCGGACCUGACGCUGAGGUGCGAAAGCGUGGGGAGCAAACAGG